AGCUGACUGGAAAUUUCUCAAAAAGUGAAUGAAUCAUCAACACACUAUGGAGGAUAUGGAUUUACUUGCAGGAUAUAAGAGCAAUGCCGCCAUGGAAUUGGAUCUAGCUCCCUAGUAGGCCGAGAUGGAACGGGAUCUAUCCCCCCAGUAGGCCGCAAUGGAAUUGGGUUUGUAUCUCUAGAAGAAUUCUGAAAGCACAUGAACAAUGAGAUGUUUAGGUACCGACUAGUUCGUUCUGAUUUUGGAGACAGUACAUGACGUUUUUUUUUGUCGCAACUCGUGUCUACAUCAUCAGAAUGUCUCAACAAUGGAGCUGAAACAUGGAAUGGAAUGUGCAGGUUUGAAUGAAGCCCACAAGUUACCCUCAAAUUACGGGCUAUUCUAUUCUAUUAUAUCGAGAUUUGUGACUUCUGCUGGCCACGUGACCCAUCAUGACAGACAUGUGACAUCUCUAUCGGUUUCGUAUCAAAAUCAGCUUAGCUUAGCUGAAUUCAAUCUGAAAAAAGGCUGUGAAUGGGGCAACGGGUGGCGCCUAAUAAUGCCCACUUGUAGCCCUCUACACCUAACUUGCGCAGCAACCCUCUGCACAAAUGACCUGUAAGUCCUCCUGCCUCCUUUUAGCUAUAUAUUUUUACCUACAAAAUUAAUUAUUACCAAAAAAAAAAAAACCCUAAAAUUUCAUUAAUUAUUAUA